rnacentral:rRNA from 1 species
GAUCCUGGCUCAGGAUGAACGCUGGCGGCGUGCUUAACACAUGCAAGUCGAACGGGAAAUAUUUUCAUUGAGACUUCGGUGGAUUUGAUCUAUUUCUAGUGGCGGACGGUGAGUAACGCGUGGGUAACCUGCCUUAUACAGGGGGAUAACAGUCAGAAAUGGCUGCUAAUACCGCAUAAGCGCACAGAGCUGCAUGGCUCAGUGUGAAAAACUCGGGUGGUAUAAGAUGGACCCG